UGGCGCCGUUAGAAUGGUGAACUGCAGGACACAUGAACACCGACAAGUUGAACGCAUAUUGCACAUCGUACAACAGUACGAUGUACACAUUUUUGAGUUGCCUAUAUUUAUAGAUUCAACCAUAUUCGCGCCUAGCGCGCCGGAUAUACAUAGUGGCGGUUUACCCCAGGGUUAAGUGGCGGGGAAACGUUUAAAACUGCCAACCCUGGGCCUCACACUACUAACUUCGGGGGGCCUAAUCCAAUGGGAACGGGAACUCCCCCCAACCCUCCACCUCGGUUGGAAGGCAAGGCAAGGGGGCCCCAUGGCCCAUCCCGAAGGGUGGUUCUCAAAUGGAACGGUGAUAUUACAACGGUAGGCCUCAAGUAUGGUGUGACUCCCCC
rnacentral:rRNA from 1 species